rnacentral:rRNA from 1 species
GAUGAACGCUGGCGGCGUGCCUAAUACAUGCAAGUCGAACGCUGGAGGUCUAGCUUGCUAGAUCGAAGGAGUGGCGAACGGGUGAGUAAUACAUAAGCAACCUACCCACGAAGACUGGGAUAAUCUCUGGAAACGGGGACUAAUACCGGAUAGGUAAUCGGAAGGCAUCUUCUGGUUAUUAAAGGUUAAAAACACUGGUGGAUGGGCUUAUGGCGCAUUAGUUAGUUGGUGAGGUAACGGCCCACCAAGACGAUGAUGCGUAGCCGGCCUGAGAGGGUGAACGGCCACAGUGGGACUGAGACACGGCCCAGACUCCUACGGGAGGCAGCAGUAGGGAAGUUUCGGCAAUGGGGGCAACCCUGACCGAGCAACGCCGCGUGAGUGAAGACGGCCUUCGGGGUGUAAAGCUCUGUUGUAAGGGAAGAACGGUAGAUAGAGAAUAUCUAAGUGACGGUACCUUACCAGAAAGCCACGGCUAACUACGUG